rnacentral:rRNA from 1 species
GAAUCUGCCUUUAGGUCCGGGACAACCACUGGAAACGGUGGCUAAUACCGGAUAAGCCGAAAGGUGAAAGAUUAAUUGCCUUUUGAUGAGCUCGCGGCCGAUUAGUUAGUUGGUGGGGUAAGAGCCUACCAAGACGGCGAUCGGUAGCUGGUCUGAGAGGAUGAUCAGCCACACUGGGACUGAGACACGGCCCAGACUCCUACGGGAGGCAGCAGUGGGGAAUUUUCCGCAAUGGGCGAAAGCCUGACGGAGCAAUACCGCGUGAGGGAGGAAGGCUCUUGGGUUGUAAACCUCUUUUCUCAGGGAAGAAUGAUGACGGUACCUGAGGAAUAAGCAUCGGCUAACUCCGUGCCAGCAGCCGCGGUAAUACGGAGGAUGCAAGCGUUAUCCGGAAUGAUUGGGCGUAAAGCGUCCGCAGGUGGCAAUGUAAGUCUGCUGUCAAAGCGUCUGGCUCAACCAGAUAAAGGCAGUGGAAACUACAUAGCUAGAGUAAGGUAGGGGUAGAGGGAAUUCCUGGUGUAGCGGUGAAAUGCGUAGAGAUCAGGAAGAACACCGGUGGCGAAAGCGCUCUGCUGGACCUUAACUGACACUGAGGGACGAAAGCUAGGGGAGCG